GGGACCCAUGCUUCAAUUUCCUGAACCACGUAACAUGAUAAUCAUUCAACCAUGAAAAGCAAACCUUCCAUAAUUUGUAACAGCCAUUUCACACAAUGCAAAAUGCGAAAGCUAUUUUUCAUUCCAUGGAAGAAGAAAACCAUGAGCUACAACCAUUCUCAUCUCUCCAAAACGUUCCAAACGAAAAAGUAAGGUGUAAGUCAAAAUGAAGUGGCGGCUGCCACACAAAACCUAGGACCGUGAGAAUGUCUCCAAAAUGGGUGGGGUCCACCUACAAUAAAACCCUAGAUGCCACAUCAUGUUUUUUUUACUAUUGGGCUUAGUCUAUUCUAGCAAAAUUGGCCCACAUUACAAAAAUUCAUCUACAAAUUCUAAAUUACUAAGCUAAGCUAGAUUAAUUCUAAUUUCCCUUGUGGAGAGUCUUCACUUAAUUGGUGCCC
rnacentral:lncRNA from 1 species